rnacentral:rRNA from 1 species
AUACGUAGGUGGCGAGCGUUGUCCGGAAUUACUGGGUGUAAAGGGCGUGUAGGCGGGAAAGCAAGUCAGAUGUGAAAUACCGGGGCUUAACUCCGGGGCUGCAUCUGAAACUGUUUUUCUUGAGUGUCGGAGAGGAAAGCGGAAUUCCUAGUGUAGCGGUGAAAUGCGUAGAUAUUAGGAGGAACACCAGUGGCGAAGGCGGCUUUCUGGACGACAACUGACGCUGAGGCGCGAAAGCGUGGGGAGCAAACAGGAUUAGAUACCCUGGUAGUCCACGCCGUAAACGAUGGAUACUAGGUGUAGGAGGUAUCGACCCCUUCUGUGCCGGAGUUAACACAAUAAGUAUCCCACCUGGGGAGUACGGCCGCAAGGUUGAAACUCAAAUGAAUUGACGGGG